rnacentral:lncRNA from 1 species
AUGGGGGCGUUCCCUGGGGCAGAAAACCACCCUCACUCACUUCCCAGACUCGCCUUCUGGAUGACGGAGGCUCCCUGGCUGUUUCACGGGGGAGCCGCAGGCUCAGGGGCCGCUCCUGUGUUGCCAGCAGGAAUCAUGGUCUCUUCAAGGUCAGACACCCUCUCCCACCAUGUCCCCAAGGUGCUUGGCCUGGGACAGCCCUGCGCGGAAGGUAGAGAAGGGGGAGUGAUGGCGUUGGAAUCCACUCCACGUCCUGCUGUGUGACUUCUUUAGGCCUCAGGGGCCUCAGCCAGGAAACGGGACCAUGAAGAGCCUUCUCACGGGGCUGUUGUGCAGGUACAGGGGCUCACGGGCGAGAAGCGGGCACUGCACCGAGGGUUCAGGACCCUGAACGGGCUCCAUAAGCGAGGGCGCCACCUCCCCGGACGGCUAUGCCUGACCAUCCCCGUUGGAAGCAGGACUUUCAUUUUCUUCUUACCCACACCACCCCGUUCUUUCUCUUCACAAGCACUCAGCCCAGUUUGUAAUUAGAUGAGUUUGUUUACUUGUCCUUGAGAGCAGGGACCGUCUCGUUUCCCACUUCUCCAUCCCGAGCACCAAGAGCAGGAGCACAGAAAACACUGAACGGACCUGCCCCGUCCUCUGCAGGCGGAGCGGGACUAGGGUUUUCUGCCGUUUCUCAGCGGACUUGGCUUUCAGAGCCCUGGAGAGUCCUCGCCUCCACCCCCCAGAGAUGACCCUGCCGCUGGCGCUGGCGUAACUGGGAAGGGCUGGAUACUCUCUGCAGACACAGAGGAAGCUGGGGCAGAACGACUGGGGGGGGGGCAAGGCUGGGUCUCACACUCACCUUGCUGGCCACGGCCCUUGAUGGAUGAUCGGGUCCUUCUGGAACUGCUUUUGCCCUUCCUGCUGCCUGCAGCUGCUUGGCCUGCAGCCCCCGCAGCCACAUUACGUCUCCCCCAGAGCCCGGCUUUGGCCCUGCUCUCACCUGAGGCUGGGCCUGACUUUCCGAGCCGCCUUCCCCUCCUGCCCCACCUCCUUCCAGGUCUCGCCUGCCUCCUGCCCUCAGCUGAGAC